AGAACAGGCUUCCUCCAACCUGGUGGACUUCAGAGGUGUUUGGACUGCAACUCCCAGAAUCCCCAUCCAGCAGGGCCAUU